rnacentral:lncRNA from 1 species
UGGUGUCCCGUCAUAUUUCUCCGGGAGGUGUAGACGGGUAUCGCUGACCUGAGCGGUUUGCUGGAUGGGCUGGUGUGCUGACUCAUUGGGUAGACGGGCUCUAGAAUAUCCUCCGCUGUUGAGACAUUGUAGACUGCGGAGAACAUCUUUCAUGGCCGUCCCCAGUUGAGCCAGCUGAUCAUGGUGUUGACGAAGAAGUUAACCUUGUUCAUCGAUUGUCUGGGAGAUGUCCGGUUGUCCUGCUGCUUCCAUAUUGAAUAGUGUCUGGGACGCACAACAAAACUCCGCUAUUCGGAUAUAACGAUGGAUUAUUUUGGACCAAACCAACAUUUGUUAUUGAAGUAGCAGUCCUGGGAGUGCAUUCUGACGAAGACAACAAAAGUCCAACAGCUUUCCCAAUGCCUCCUGCACCUUCUGGACCACAAACGGAAUAUUCCUUCCUCUUUUCCAGAGCACCCCAUCAGCAAACAGGGAGAGGCCAAAACCAGGCCCGACAUCCUGGAACAUGUUAUUCAUCAUUAUAUUAAACAAAAUUGGAC